rnacentral:rRNA from 1 species
GAUGAACGCUGGCGGCGUGCUUAACACAUGCAAGUCGAACGAUGAACCCGGAGCUUGCUCCGGUGGAUUAGCGGCGGACGGGUGAGUAACACGUGGGUAACCUGCCCAUAAGACUGGGAUAACUCCGGGAAACCGGGGCUAAUACCGGAUAACAUUUUGAACCGCAUGGUUCGAAAUUGAAAGGCGGCUUCGGCUGUCACUUAUGGAUGGACCCGCGUCGCAUUAGCUAGUUGGUGAGGUAACGGCUCACCAAGGCAACGAUGCGUAGCCGACCUGAGAGGGUGAUCGGCCACACUGGGACUGAGACACGGCCCAGACUCCUACGGGAGGCAGCAGUAGGGAAUCUUCCGCAAUGGACGAAAGUCUGACGGAGCAACGCCGCGUGAGUGAUGAAGGCUUUCGGGUCGUAAAACUCUGUUGUUAGGGAAGAACAAGUGCUAGUUGAAUAAGCUGGCACCUUCACGGUACCUAACCAGAAAGCCACGGCUAACUACGUGCCAGCAGCCGCCGUAA